UACGAAGGGGGCUAGCGUUGCUCGGAAUCACUGGGCGUAAAGCGCACGUAGGCGGACUCUUAAGUCGGUGGUGAAAUCCUGGAGCUCAACUCCAGAACUGCCUUCGAUACUGAGAGUCUUGAGUCCGGGAGAGGUGAGUGGAACUGCGAGUGUAGAGGUGAAAUUCGUAGAUAUUCGCAAGAACACCAGUGGCGAAGGCGGCU
rnacentral:rRNA from 1 species